ACACUUACCCAGCAGGGGAGACACCAUGAUCAGGUAGGUGGUUUUCCCAGGGUGAGGCUCAUCCUCUCCACUCUGGGUGUGCAGACUCCUGCGAUUUCCCCAAAUUGAGGGACAGGCUGUGGGU
rnacentral:snRNA from 13 species